AGUGAACGCUGGCGGUAGGCCUAACACAUGCAAGUCGAACGGCAGCACAGUAAGAGCUUGCUCUUACGGGUGGCGAGUGGCGGACGGGUGAGGAAUACAUCGGAAUCUACUUUUUCGUGGGGGAUAACGUAGGGAAACUUACGCUCAUACCGCAUACGACCUACGGGUGAAAGCAGGGGAUCUUCGGACCUUGCGCGAUUGAAUGAGCCGAUGUCGGAUUAGCUAGUUGGCGGGGUAAAGGCCCACCAAGGCGACGAUCCGUAGCUGGUCUGAGAGGAUGAUCAGCCACACUUGAAGUGAGACACGGUCCAGACUCCUACGGGAGGCAGCAGUGGGGAAUAUUGGACAAUGGGCGCGAUCCUGGUCCAGCCAUACCGCGUGGGUGAAGAAGGCCUUCGGGUUGUAAAGCCAUUUUGUUGGGAAAGAAAAGCAGCAGGUUAAUACCCCGCUGUUCUGACGGUACCCAAAGAAUAAGCACCGGCUAACUUCGUG
rnacentral:rRNA from 1 species